GCGUAAAUCCUAGCGUAACUUACUACAGCUAUACCCAGUCGUAACUCCAUCGUAGUUUUUCUACGAAAAUGAAUUAAUCCAUCUAACAUGGCUGCAGCGUUUUUUAUUAUUGGUUAAGAUGCCUCAAAUGUUAGAAGACGAAGAAGAAUCUUCAAUAUCAUAGAACUACACUUGAAGUCUUUCUUCGUUGGAUUAUUUGUAUAUUCAAGCAACUAACUUAAUGCAAAUCUGAGGUAUUAAUCAUUGUUUACUCAUCUUAUUUCCUACUGGCGUUCGUCUUAACAAUUUAAUAAAUAGGCUUUCUAUCACGU
rnacentral:lncRNA from 1 species